GGGCGGUUAGCUCAGUUGGCUAGAGCGCAUCUUUGACGUAGAUGAGGUCACAGGUUCGAUUCCUGUAUCGCCCACCA
rnacentral:tRNA from 1 species